GCCGGGGUGAUGAAACUGGAAAACAUGCGGCACUCAAAAUGCCGUGGGCGCAAGCCCUUGAGGGUUCAAAUCCCUCCCUCGGCACCA
rnacentral:tRNA from 1 species